AAAGUAAAAAGUCGUAACAAGGUUUCCGUAGGUGAACCUGCGGAAGGAUCAUUGAUAAAAUUAGAAAAUGUAGUCGACCGUGGACGUGUGUGCAAGUAAUCAUCGAUUUCCAAGCUGAUGCCGGUUGCAUUAUUUUCUUCUGAAGCAGUGAUGCUUGAUGCGGAUUAGUGUUGGCAUCGCGAUAGAUGAAAGAUAGAUUGAGCGCAAAUUGCGCCAAGGAAAAUGUAUUUAGGUUGGCAUCGUUCAUCUGGUUUCGAUUGCUGCCCUAGUGAAGUGCGUAAAUUGCACCCUUUGGAAUGACUCACGACAAUGGAUAUCUUGGUUCUCGCAUCGAUGAAGAACGUAGCGAAAUGCGAUACGUGAUGUGAAUUGCAGAAUCCCGUGAACCGUCGAAUCUUUGAACGCAUGUUGCGCUUGAAGUGUUCCCACUUUUGGCACGUCUGUCUGGGUGUCGCAAAUCUCGUCGUUCUUGUCUCUCUGAUGGGGGGUGAAUGGAGAUUGGCCUUUCGUUGGGUGACCUGCGGGUGGCCUCAAUGUCUGAUGCAAAAUGUUGUCACAUUCAACGUGCGUUGGUUGUUGGCUUGUCCAACUUCUGGUUGCGUUGUGUUGUUUUCAAUCUUUGGGUUCCCUAAAUUGUUGUGGCAAAAUGUACUGUUGCCCGUGUGAAUCGCCCCAGGUCAGGUGAGAUCACCCGAUGAAUUUAAGCAUAUCAAUAA
rnacentral:rRNA from 1 species